GAUGAACGCUGGCGGCGUGCCUAAUACAUGCAAGUCGAGCGAACAGACGAGGAGCUUGCUCCUCUGACGUUAGCGGCGGACGGGUGAGUAACACGUGGAUAACCUACCUAUAAGACUGGGAUAACUUCGGGAAACCGGAGCUAAUACCGGAUAAUAUAUUGAACCGCAUGGUUCAAUAGUGAAAGACGGUUUUGCUGUCACUUAUAGAUGGAUCCGCGCCGCAUUAGCUAGUUGGUAAGGUAACGGCUUACCAAGGCAACGAUGCGUAGCCGACCUGAGAGGGUGAUCGGCCACACUGGAACUGAGACACGGUCCAGACUCCUACGGAAGGCAGCAAUAGGGAAUCUUCCGCAAUGGGCGAAAGCCUGACGGAGCAACGCCGCGUGAGUGAUGAAGGUCUUCGGAUCGUAAAACUCUGUUAUUAGGGAAGAACAAAUGUGUAAGUAACUAUGCACGUCUUGACGGUACCUAAUCAGAAAGCCACGGCUAACUACGUG
rnacentral:rRNA from 1 species